UCCAAAGAGACUUAGUGGCGAACGGGUGAGUAACACGUAGGUAACCUGCCCAUGUGUCCGGGAUAACUGCUGGAAACGGUAGCUAAAACCGGAUAGGUAUACAGAGCGCAUGCUCAGUAUAUUAAAGCGCCCAUCAAGGCGUGAACAUGGAUGGACCUGCGGCGCAUUAGCUAGUUGGUGAGGUAACGGCCCACCAAGGCGAUGAUGCGUAGCCGGCCUGAGAGGGUAAACGGCCACAUUGGGACUGAGACACGGCCCAAACUCCUACGGGAGGCAGCAGUAGGGAAUUUUCGUCAAUGGGGGGAACCCUGAACGAGCAAUGCCGCGUGUGUGAAGAAGGUCUUCGGAUCGUAAAGCACUGUUGUAAGUGAAGAAUGCCAUAUAGAGGAAAUGCUAUGUGGGUGACGGUAGCUUACCAGAAAGCCACGGCUAACUACGUGCCAGCAGCCGCGGUAAUACGUAGGUGGCAAGCGUUAUCCGGAAUCAUUGGGCGUAAAGGGUGCGUAGGUGGCACGAUAAGUCUGAAGUAAAAGGCAACAGCUCAACUGUUGUAUGCUUUGGAAACUGUCGAGCUAGAGUGCAGAAGAGGGCGAUGGAAUUCCAUGUGUAGCGGUAAAAUGCGUAGAUAUAUGGAGGAACACCAGUGGCGAAGGCGGUCGCCUGGUCUGUAACUGACACUGAUGCACGA
rnacentral:rRNA from 1 species